rnacentral:pre_miRNA from 1 species
AGAAUAUAAGAAUCCGAUUCUUAAUUUUUAACUGAAAAAGUUAAGAGUCGGUUCUUAAAUCUCGCCGAUUCUUAGCAUUUUCAGUUAAAAAUUAAGAGUCGGAUUUUUAUAUUUC